GGCUAACGCUGGCGGCGUGUCUUAGCCAUGCAAGUCGAGCGGACUUAUGGGGUAACUUAUAAGUCAGCGGCGGACGGCGGAGUAACACGUAGCUAACCUACCCUCUGGACGGGGAUAACCUACCGAAAGGUGGGCUAAUACCCGAUGUAGUCAUCCUGUAUAGGGGUGAUGAAAGGUGGGCUUCUGUUUACAAGCUCAUGCUGGAGGAGGGGGCUGCGGCCUAUCGGGUAGUUGGUAGGGUAAUAGCCUACCAAGCCGAUGACGGGUAGCCGGCCUGAGAGGGUGACCGGCCCGAGGGGCACUGAGAUACGGGUCCCACUCCUACGGGAGGCAGCAGGCUAGAAAUUUGGGCAAUGGGGGAAACCCUGACCCAGUGACGCCGCGUGCAGGAAGGAGCCCUUCGGGGUGUAAACUGCUGUCGUGUAGGGAGAAGGGUACUAAGGUGAACAAUCUUAGUACUUGACGGUACUACAGGAGGAAGCCCAGGCUAACCUCGUG
rnacentral:rRNA from 1 species